UAACGUGAGCGUCCUAAGGUAGCGCGAUAAUUUGCUUUUCAAUUGAAGGAUGGUAUGAAAGGGUUAACGAAGAAGGUGCUGUGUCUAAAAAUUCAAUUUAAACUAACUUUAAGGUGAAGAGGCCUUUAUGUAAAAGAAGGACGACAAGACCCUAUGAAGCUUUAUCUUAAUUGGAGCUUUCAGGCUCUUAUACGAUUUUGAUGGGAGAUCAGUAGAAAUAAGUCCUCUACUAUUAUAUUAAUCUUACUAGUAUUUCCUAACUUUAUAUGUGUGACUAGCUACUCUAGGGAUAACAGCGCAAUUUCUCCCGAAAGAUGGUAUUGGAGGGGAAGAUUGCGACCUCGAUGUUGGCUUUAGAUACCCUAGAGGCGUAGAAGCUUCU
rnacentral:rRNA from 1 species